rnacentral:lncRNA from 1 species
AAGGCAUUUCCUAGGCAGGGAGCCUAGCAAGACGCUUCUCUUUCUGAGCUUAAAGCAUUUCGAGACUCGAGGAAGGAGUCACAAGAUUAAAAGGCACCUGGACCACAGAAAGACACCAAUUAAGAAGACCUGCUCUGGGUUUGUGCAUGAGCAAGGAACACGAAUUAUUUCUCAAGCCACUGAAAAUAUAGUUUAAUGACGGCAACAGGUAGGGGUUACCAUAACAAUCCGACCUCAUGGGCUCGAAACUUGACAAAUAGCACGCGACUGUCAAUGAGUGGACACAGGGCAGCUGUCGGUGGGCCCGGCCUGAAGAGUCUCCCUGACCUUGGCAGGACACUGGAUAGUGGUGACCCAUGACAUAGUUCCAUUUCCCGGGAUGGGCAGAGCUGCCUAACUGUGACCCCAGAAUCUUAAUACGACCCUAAGAGAAAGGUACCCUGAAAAUGGCUGAAACCGUUCUUACUGCCACACUCUCACAACUAGGUUUGAAAUGACUGGGGCUCGGUAGGAAUGCCGACAGCAGCAUUUAUUUGUACUUGUUUAAGAUAUUGAUGAAGGAGUUGAGGAUGAAGGUGAAGAUGAUGAGGAUGAAGGGGAGGAGAGGAUGGCUAGCACUGAUGGACUCCAACCUUCUUUUUUCUUUUUAUUUAUUUUUUUAAAUUUUCUCCAGUCCCUAGGAACAAGUUGCAGUCCUUUCCUCCCUGUCCUUCUAUGGUCAGUCACCUUGUUUUUGAGGUCUCAACAUCAUGAUUCUCAACUAAUUUUGGGGAAAACAUCUUGAGCAAAAUACAACAGGAGAAGAAUCU